rnacentral:rRNA from 1 species
ACGGAAGGCCCAGCUUGCUGGGUACUCGAGUGGCGAACGGGUGAGUAACACGUGGGUGAUCUGCCCUGCACUCUGGGAUAAGCCUGGGAAACUGGGUCUAAUACCGGAUAUGACCAACUGUCGCAUGGUGGUUGGUGGAAAGCUUUUGCGGUGUGGGAUGGGCCCGCGGCCUAUCAGCUUGUUGGUGGGGUAAUGGCCUACCAAGGCGACGACGGGUAGCCGACCUGAGAGGGUGAUCGGCCACACUGGGACUGAGACACGGCCCAGACUCCUACGGGAGGCAGCAGUGGGGAAUAUUGCACAAUGGGCGCAAGCCUGAUGCAGCGACGCCGCGUGAGGGAUGACGGCCUUCGGGUUGUAAACCUCUUUCACCAGGGACGAAGCGUGAGUGACGGUACCUGGAGAAGAAGCACCGGCCAACUACGUGCCAGCAGCCGCGGUAAUACGUAGGGUGCGAGCGUUGUCCGGAAUUACUGGGCGUAAAGAGCUCGUAGGCGGUUUGUCGCGUCGUCUGUGAAAUUCUGCAACUCAAUUGCAGGCGUGCAGGCGAUACGGGCAGACUUGAGUACUACAGGGGAGACUGGAAUUCCUGGUGUAGCGGUGAAAUGCGCAGAUAUCAGGAGGAACACCGGUGGCGAAGGCNGGUCNNNGNGUAGUAACUGACGNNNNNNAGCGAAAGCGUGGGUAGCGAACAGNNNNNNNUACCCUGGUAGUC